AAAGAACUGUAAGUACUUCAAAAUCACAAAAAGUAUUUUAUUAUAAUUUUAGGUUAUAUUGACGAAAUUAGUUUGGACUACGUAAACAUGUGAGUACCUACCUGUUUAAAAACUCAAGUAUUCACAUAGAAAAAUGUAAUGUGGUAAAUAUUACUAAUAUAAUAUAAUUCCUGAAAUAAUGUGGUUAGUGAUUUGAUUUUUUUUAAGCCUUAUAAAGUUAGAUUGUUUAUUAUUAUGAAUCAUUUGUUGUGAAUGAAAAGAGAAACAAAAUUGGGAACAAUAGGAAAGCUUUGUUCAGUUAAAAGUUGUCCAAGUGGCCGAAAAUUAAAAACUGUUAUGUAUCAUAUGUGUGGAGGGAAUGAUCACCCUGAUCCAAAAAUGUGUCCGUCAAGCUUACAGAUUGGAACCUACAUUUUCAGUUACAUGUCCUUUGAAAGGGUGUAAUGUUUCUGGAAAGAAUCUUCUGAAAAGUUAAAUUAAAUUUGAUGGAGUGCCUGAACUGAAUUCAUCAAUCAAGUCAAGAAUGAGAGUUAAGACUUCAAAAUAUUGAUGCCAUUCUAAAAGGUGCUGUACUGCAAGUGGAAGGUUCCACAAUUGACGAAGAUCAUGAUAUUAUAAUGAGGCCGUAACCAUGCAAUCAUACAUUGCUAGUUACAUUACCCGAAACUUGCUAAAAAUUACAAAGAAAUCAAAUUGCUUACAAAAUAUACAUUUGAAUGCAGUAGAUGGCCAACGAUUACAAAUAAAUUAUAUACUUAAUAAGAAAAAUGUGUGAUGGACCUAUUUAUACUAAGUGGCUAUGAGUUGAUGAAUUUAACAACUAUACAUUACUUUUAACAAAAUAUUAUGUAGAGGCCAUAACUCAAAUAUUAUCACACGAAUGGAAAAAAGAAAAUUUUGAUAAAAGUUGGAUGCUUAGUUUAUAAAAGAUGGAAAAAACGCUGACAGAGAAUAUAACAAAUUAAAAUUUUGAUUCCGGCUCAUUCUUUUAGCAAAUUCAGAGGAGAUAAGCUGAGGCUGAAGGAAGCUGAAACUAAAAUAAAAAUGAACUGAAAAAAUCCAAAAUCACCCUCUUGAAUGUAUGGAUUGUUACAAAUAUAUAUAUAAUUAAAGAAAUGUUAUAUUAAAAAAA